CAGCAUGUCUUAUCAAGGGCUGUGGCUUGAAGUAGCCACGGGGUCUCCAACUGCAUGCAGAACAUGCUGGAAAGACUUUGACAGUGCGGGUCACCACAUGCCUGCAGCUGCCACUCAGCUUUCCUAUACUC
rnacentral:snoRNA from 1 species